UGAAGCUGUCUGCAUAAGGAGAGGUCUGCAAAAGAAAGGACACUGAAGUCUUCAUCAGGACCCACCAGAUUCAAAAGACUGAAAGACUUUGGGGAAAUAGGCCAUUUUAAAGCCACUCAACCAUACUUCCUGGUUCCCAGUUCUCCAAGAGGUCUAUAAGUUGCCCAAUUUUCAUGGUUCCUCUGAGCUGUCAUCUAGUAUGGUGUCAUUCCCAGGGAUACAGUACCCAGAGUAGCCAGAGCCUUGGGCUCUGUGUGGUUUUGAACAUGUGACUCUGUGUGGAAGCCUAAAUAUUUGUACUUUAUUCCACUCCUGAUUAAAGACUUGGUUUUUCUGACUAUUUAA